rnacentral:rRNA from 1 species
UACGAAGGGGGCUAGCGUUGUUCGGAAUUACUGGGCGUAAAGGGCGCGUAGGCGGCCGGCUAAGUUAGGCGUGAAAGCCCAGGGCUCAACUCUGGAAUUGCGCUUGAUACUGGUUGGCUUGAGUACGGGAGAGGAUAGUGGAAUUCCCAGUGUAGAGGUGAAAUUCGUAGAUAUUGGGAAGAACACCGGUGGCGAAGGCGGCUAUCUGGACCGUAACUGACGCUGAGGCGCGAAAGCGUGGGGAGCAAACAGG